rnacentral:rRNA from 1 species
AUUGAACGCUGGCGGCAGGCCUAACACAUGCAAGUCGACCGAGUGGCGGAAGGGUGAGUAAUGUCUGGGAAACUGCGCGAGGACGGUGGAUAACUACUGGAAACGGUAGCUAAUACCGCAUACUAUCGGAUGUGCCCAGAUGGGAUUAGCUAGUAGGUGGGGGAACGGCUCAGCUAGGCGACGAUCUCUAGCUGUUCUGAGAGGAUGACCAGCCACACUGGAACUGAGACACGGUCCAGACUCCUACGGGAGGCAGCAGUGGGGAAUAUUGCACAAUGGGCGCAAGCCUGAUGCAGCCAUGCCGCGUGUAUGAAGAAGGCCUUCGGGUUGUAAAGUACUUUCAGCGAGGAGGCGUUACUCGCAGAAGAAGCACCGGCUAACUCCGUGCCAGCAGCCGCGGUAAUUC